GUUCAUAGCCUUCACUGCAAUGUGUUGCUCUCGUUUUCACAGUCAAUUCACCACAAGUCAAAAUCAGAUCAACAGACAGGGACAUCGGCCUUCUCUUGGGAAUAUGCCAGAUAUGCCAUAACAAGAAAAAAUGGUGUUUUGCCCCUGCGGUUGUGAAGAGGAUGCUGUGGAGGUGGCAGCAUGAACGUGUCACACAGACAUUGGCUAAACUACUCGGCUUCUACACUUGCCCUCAGAGUUCACAUAUGGUUAAGUGCACAGGUGGCCAGCCAGGUUCAGACUGAUACUGGUAACAAGAGGAAAACAUGCUGAUUGGAAUGAUUCAACGAUGGACAUUUUGCUUAAUUGUGGAAAAAAAUAAAUGGAAAAACGUC